GAGAAAUCCUGGAAGGGUGGGAGUCUGGAUUUUGGUUAUUUGACCUUUUUUUUUUUUUUUUAGAAGGUUUUGCACUGUCCUCUCUCCUCACCUGAAUCUCCUGAUCUGUCUCUGGGAGGUUGACCACCCCUUGCAUGUUAUGCUGCUUCUUAAGGCCCCUUUGGACUUUUCAGACCAGCUUAUACCAAGAGUAAAGCUGGAAUUACCCCAGUAAUGAUUUGGUAAAGACUCUGGAGGCAGCUCAGUUAUCCAAAGGCAUGCAAUGACAAUUGUGGAUAUGCCAUGGUAUCCUGCCAACACCUCACUUGUUGAUUCAGAAAGCUGCAGGUCUCAGACCACCCAGGACACUCCAGGUUAA
rnacentral:lncRNA from 1 species